rnacentral:rRNA from 1 species
UGGGGAAUAUUGGUCAAUGGGCGGGAGCCUGAACCAGCCAAGUAGCGUGAAGGAUGAAGGUUCUAUGGAUUGUAAACUUCUUUUACAGGGGAAUAAAGUGCACCACGUGUGGUGUUUUGUAUGUACCCUAUGAAUAAGGACCGGCUAACUCCGUGCCAGCAGCCGUGGUAAUACGGAGGAUCCGAGCGUUAUCCGGAUUUAUUGGGUUUAAAGGGAGCGUAGGCGGGAAGGUAAGUUGGGUGUGAAAACUAUUGGCUCAACCAAUAGAUUGCACUCAAAACUACUUUUCUUGAGUGAAGUAGAGGCAGGCGGAAUUCCUAGUGUAGCGGUGAAAUGCGUAGAUAUUAGGAGGAACACCAGUGGCGAAGGCGACUUACUGGACUGUAACUGACGUUGAGGCUCGAAAGCGUGGGGAGCAAACA